AAGAAAAUAUUGAUAGAGUAAGACCUUCCAACUAUGGUUGAAUGCAAUUUGUAAGAAUACACAUCAAUUAUUCUAAUGGCUAAACAAAUCUAAACAAGUCAUGAAACAAAAUAAGAUUUUUGAGAAGUAUCAUGAUCAUCCAAUAAAAAGGUUUUAAUUUUUGUAAAUGAACAACUUGAAGAACUAUUGAUUCUAAUAACAACUGAUUGUAGAUGGAUAUAUUUGUGAGUUCAAUGACAAAUACUUUUUCGUCCUACAAUAAUAUGAGCUAAUAUUUUUUGUUUUUCUCUUUGUUGCUUCGAGUAUGACCUUUAUAUAUUACCUUCACUUUACAAGUCCAUUUUUCUAUAAUCGACGCAAUUUGGAUGAGAUUGAGUUUUCCUGUCAUGUCCAAGCUAAGCCCAUAACAAUUGAAGAAUCAAAAUUAAUAAACCUAGAAAUAAAGUAAACUAUUUUUUGGGUUUAAAGUAAAGAAAAAAUCACAGCUUAUUCGACUUUUGAAGAUGAACAUGAAAAACUCGGAUAAGUACUUUCUGAAAAAGAAAGAUGGAGAAAAAAACAUGAAUUAAUUCAUAUCGGUAGGGAAAAACCAGAGAACUACUACAUGCCAAAUGAAGCAUCCUUGAAGUGAAUAAUCAGAGAUCAAAAAUAUGAAAUAACCAAAUCAAAAUUGAAGUUUCAGAGGUACAGAUCCAUAUGUAAAAUCUAAAGCAAAAUCAAAAUUAAACAUAAACUCUUGGACAAUCACUCACCAUUUCCCUUUCUAACAAAACCCAAAUCUUGAGUCUCUCCCAAACUAGCCCUUUAAGUUCCACCCUUCAAUGGCUUUCCCCUUAUCAAACUUUCAACAAAACUCACCCUUUUUUGUACACUCAAUGUCAGUCUAUUCAAGCUCGUUCAAUCUUUUUUUGUCAAGAUACACCUACUGCACGUGUCAAGUACUCUGCAAAGUUGAACACUCGCACCAGCUAUCGGCUGUUAUGGCUGCUAGAUAUGUGGAGAGGUGGUCCCCUCUUCUGUCUGAGGUGCAAAGGGUUUGUAAGGAUUUAGUUUGGUGUGGGGAUGAUAGUAUGGUGGAGGAUUUUAUGAUGGAACAACCUAUACCUCCAUAUUUAUUUGCAUUUGCAGUAGGGGAGUUGGGGUUCAGGGAGAUGGGUCCCAGGACUAGGGUGUAUGCUGAGGCUGUUCCUGAGGUCUUGGAUACUGCUGCUAUAGAGUUUACUAGUACUGAAGAGAUGAUUUAGGUUGGCAAGAGGCUUUUUGGACCUUAUGAUUGGGAAAGGUUCGAUCUUUUAGUAUUACCUCCGAGUUUCCCUUACGGCAGAAUGGAGAACCCAAGGAUGGUUUUCUUGAUAACUGUGAUCAAGGGGGACGCCAGUGGAGUACAGGUGGUAGCUCAUGAGCUUGCUCACAGCUGGAAUGGGAAUUUGAUCACUAACAAAAACAACAAUUUCUUUUGGUUGAAUGAGGUAUUAUACCUUAUUUUCUUGUAGUUCUUCAUGCUUGUUGCUUCCGUCAUCUUUUUCAUCUAUUUGGAGCUGAGAGUUUAUCAAAAAUAGUCUUGUUUUUUUAAGGAAUACCCUUCCCAUAAAUCACUUGUGGGAUUACCCUGGGUGUGUUGUUGAUGAAGAUAUAUUAUACCUUAUUUAGUUAUAUACUUGAGAUAACACAAUCAUUUAGCAUUCUUUUGUGAUUAUGGUCCAUAAUCUUAUGAUCUGACUGACAUUUAUUAUCAUGUAUAAACUCCUAUUUCUUAUUUUAUUUUAUUUUUACAUUGUCCGGUAACUUAAUGAAAUCUCCUGGUUUGUACUUGGUGCUUUGUAUUGUCUAACAUAUCUUUACACAACUAGGAUGGUUGGUUAGUUUAAAGCAUGUUGUUCUCUAGCUUAUGGUAUCAUAUAUAUUAGUUGCUAAACAUGGAUUUGUUGGGCAUUGUGACUAUCAAAAAAGAUUAGAAUAAGAAAUUGUAGAAAAGAUUUCUUCCCUCUAAUGUGAUCAGAAAAUCCUGAACCACUGGUCCAAGUACUGAUAGUAGGCGAUUGAGAGACUCAUGUUAUAAUAUUCCCUGUUUGAACAAUAAAAGUUGUAUAGGAGGAUGUCUUGAAAUCCUGUCUAAAUCUAUGUGAUUCACUCCCUGUAUGGAUGAUUCGUCCCGUACUGCAUUCUCAAAAUCUUACUUACUCCUUAGAGGGUGGUUGGAUUGACUUAUUUUUAGGUGUUUUUGGAUUUUAAUCACUUUUUAAUUUCGGAAGGUGUUUGACAAAGACACAUAGUGAAUUUAAACACCAUACGUUAGUCUUAGAAGUACAAUAAAAAAGCCAAAAACCAAGUUGGUUGCUAACAACUUUGGCUUUUAACUUUUAGCUUAUAAGUCACUUAAAAAAAGCUAAUCCAAAACCCUAUUAGUCUUCACCCCUGACUGCAGUGCCUAAAAACACAUAAUCCAGAAACUAGAACUCUUGUAGGUGGGAUUUUUAAGUAAACUCAAGUACUCAACCUGUAUUUUUCCAUACACGGUGUCCCCUCCACUCUUUUCUCUCUCUGCAUCAUAAAUAUUAUCCUAAAAUCCAUAUUAGAAUGAAUCUCCAAAAAAACAAAAUCCAUAUUGGAUGUUGAAAUGGAGAAUGUUUAAGACUCAGGUUAAAGUUUCAACUGGUCCACUGUUGGUUUUUUUCAAAAACCUCGAAAUCAAAGAAGUGUUUUGGUCUACUAAUAUUUGGUUAUUCAUUUAUGUUAAUAUAUGUGGUGGGUUCUAUAGAGAUGGUUCUAUUUGAGAUAUUGUUGGUGAUCCAGAAGAGAUUGAAACCAUGAAGGGUGGCUUCCAGAAAGCACUUCUAGUUUUGAUGUUACAGUGGGAAGAUGGAAGAACACUUGGAUAUAACCAAAACAUGUUCCCAAGAAUGGUGAAUUUGAAUCCAGGUUUGGAUAAACAGUUUGCUAAUGGUGCUUAGAUAAGUUCAACACUUCAGCAGAAGAAACAGUUAAAAUGCCUCCCAGAAAGAAUAAUGGAAGAAUAAAUGGAAACCAGCCUGCACCUCCGUCUGUUCAGAAAGAUCCCCUCAAAGAGCAUGUCUCUUAUGCUAAAUUUAGAGAUGUAUUUACUUCCUUAGAUCACUCUGUAACAACUCAAUAAUCAGUUCAGACGCACAGUUUCCUGACCGUGCUUAGAUAAGUUUAACACUUUAACACCAACAGCAGUGGUUUUGAGGCCCAGUCCCGUGAUCCUACAAACAUGUAGAUUGUGAUCCAGCCUUUCAGAGAUUGGUGAGACUCCUUUAUAUCGGAAGGCAUCUAUCCCAUGUGUCUUUUUUUAUGGUUGUUAUGGUCCAGCCAGGGACCUUGUCCUGGCCUAGUUAGACUAUUGUUUUUAGUUCAGUGGAGACUUUAUAGACUUGUUCAAAAUGGAUUUUGGUCUUCUUAUGGAUCAUGUCUUGAAUUUUUAAGUUUGAAUUAAUGGGAUUGUUAUGUUUCAUGACUUA